rnacentral:rRNA from 2 species
GAUUGUCUGGUGCCAGCAGCCGCGGUAAUUCCAGCUCCAAUAGCGUAUAUUAAAGUUGUUGCAGUUAAAAAGCUCGUAGUUGAACUUCUGGUAGAGUUAACCUGACUUGAGUAUUUUGCUCUAGAUCGUGCGUUAACUUGGCCAUCUUGACUUUUUUCGGAAAGUCUCGUUUACUGUAAAAAAAUUAGAGUGUUCAAAGCAAAAAGUAUUUUUGAAUAUAUUAGUAUGGAAUAAUAAGAUAAGGCUUCUGUGUUAUUUUGUUGGUUUGCCACAGAUGCAAUGAUUAAAAGGGACGGUUGGGGGUAUUCGUAUUCCGAUGUCAGAGGUGAAAUUCUUGGAUUUUCGAAAGACGAACAACUGCGAAGGCAUUUACCAAGGAUGUUUUCAUUAAUCAAGAACGAAAGUUAGG